GCGCGAAACCUCCGCAAUGUGAGAAAUCGCGACGGGGGGAUCCCAAGUGCCAUUCUUAACGGGAUGGCUUUUCUUAAGUGUAAAAAGCUUUUGGAAUAAGAGCUGGGCAAGACCGGUGCCAGCCGCCGCGGUAACACCGGCAGCUCUAGUGGUAGCUGUUUUUAUUGGGCCUAAAGCGUUCGUAGCCGGUUUGAUAAGUCACUGGUGAAAUCCUGUAGCUUAACUGUGGGAAUUGCUGGUGAUACUGUUGAACUUGAGGUCGGGAGAGGUUAGCGGUACUCCCAGGGUAGAGGUGAAAUUCUGUAAUCCUGGGAGGACCACCUGUGGCGAAGGCGGCUAACUGGAACGAACCUGACGGUGAGGGACGAAAGCUAGGGGCGCGAACCGG
rnacentral:rRNA from 3 species